AAAGCUUUAAGUUAAAAUAAACUAUUAACCUUCAAAGUUAAAAAUAUACCUAGAAUAUAAGCUUUA
rnacentral:tRNA from 1 species